rnacentral:lncRNA from 1 species
CCACUUUCACCUUAUGUUUCUGAAGUUGGUCUGAAGGAUGCUCUCAAAACCACUUGGACUGAUGUAGUUCAACAGCUUUUUGCUGGGUGUCCUUAACUGCUGUGUUACCUUUUUAAAAACAUUGGUGUCAGCCCAACUCUUAAUGUAAGAGGUGGUCCUGUCACAAAAUCCACCUUGAGCUGUUCCUGUGCCUGCAGCCCGCGUGGAUGGAUGGGUGUAAGAAUCAAACCCCCCCUGUCUUGUGCCUCCAGACUGUCUCCUGGAAACUGAAUGGGAACAAGUUGGCUGGGGUCCCCUGGGGACAGUUGGACUGUGUGGUUCAUGCUGUGUCAGGAUAAAGAAGGCUAAAUUGUCUGACAUGGACAAUCUGACAACUCUAAAUCCCACCUUUUUUUUUUUUUUUUUUUGACUGAUAGUAAUUUUAGACCAAGAAAUUGAUGUUAUAAAUGAGGUGGGUUUGGGCCCUUUUUUUUUUUUGGUUUGCCCUUCUACUACUGUGUAAUCUUCAUUGGAACUACUGGGUUAAAUACUGUAUGUCACUGCCUUGUAAGCAACGGCUAUGAAAGUAGGUCCAGCAGAUCAUGCUCCAUCUUAUUGGAACUUUGCAAGUAGAGAAAUCAGGUUGUCCUUCCUCUUACAAAAAAGGGAACAGCAUAUGGUAAAGUCAUUAGAGAAUAAACAAAAACGCCAGCAAAACACACACAGGCAAAUGCUUAGUGUAAGGUAGUAAAAGUGUGGACAGUCAGCUCAUAAAGAGGUCAAGGUUACAUGUCUUAAUUAAAAAAAAGUGGCAGAUUCAAGAAGUAAAUUCAAGCUGUGGUGACCAGGGACAUUUAGAAACUGGGGGAAAAGGAAGAUCAAUUGGAUGUUGUCUCUGUGACAUCCUGAAGUAAUUCCUCUUUUUCUUUUAAGGUUCAUGAUAUGCAAAUGCCAGCUUCUGAAUUAUAGCUGCAGUGAUGUACCAAAUGUUUUCUAGCACAUCUUAUUGUGAGCAGAAAUAUCAGUGUUGUCAAAAAAAAA